rnacentral:rRNA from 1 species
AGCGAACGCUGGCGGCAGGCUUAACACAUGCAAGUCGAGCGGGCACCUUUCGGGGUGUCAGCGGCGGACGGGUGAGUGACGCGUGGGAACGUGCCCUCUGGUUCGGAAUAACUCAGGGAAACUUGAGCUAAUACCGGAUACGCCCUUUUGGGGAAAGGCUUGCUGCCGGAGGAUCGGCCCGCGUCUGAUUAGCUAGUUGGUGAGGUAACGGCUCACCAAGGCGACGAUCAGUAGCUGGUCUGAGAGGAUGAUCAGCCACACUGGGACUGAGACACGGCCCAGACUCCUACGGGAGGCAGCAGUGGGGAAUAUUGGACAAUGGGCGCAAGCCUGAUCCAGCCAUGCCGCGUGAGUGAUGAAGGCCUUAGGGUUGUAAAGCUCUUUUAUCCGGGACGAUAAUGACGGUACCGGAGGAAUAAGCCCCGGCUAACUUCGUG